GGAGAGGUGGCAGAGUGGUCGAAUGCACUGGUUUCGAAAACCAGCAGGGGCGAAAGCUCCUCGUGGGUUCAAAUCCCACCCUCUCCG
rnacentral:tRNA from 1 species